CAAGAGAAAUAUGUCCACCAGUGGCUUGAGGUUGAGGAGAGGGUUGGAUUCACAUCCAAAAAGGAUUGGGCGAGGUAGCAGAAAGGUCCAUUUGGAAAAGCAACAAAAAUCAAGAUAUGAUCCCUCAUAAUUGGAACACAGGGAAGCACAUUCACAAACCCGCAGACCAACAAAUACAAUUGCACAAAACAAAAGAAGUUUCAAAGUUGCUGUGAUUGGAUAUUGAUGGUAAUUGAAGAUUGGAUAUUGCUUUCUCACGAUGACAUUUGGAGGACGACCACCAAGUGAAUUUUGUUUGUUGAUAUUUUUGGUUAAAUGUAUUUUGUUGUACUGGUUGUGUUUCAAUGGGGUUACGCUUGCUAGCUAUAAUGUAAGUUUAUAUCCCCAGGGUGUGCAUAUUGCUUAUGUAAAUUCUGAUUUAGUUUGCUAUCAAGUUUAGAAUGUUGAAAGGAACGAAAUCUGUUAAAUUAUCCAUGUUACAUUCUCGAACUGGCAAUUUGUAAAGCAUUUGAAGCAAAAAUGUUUGUUGUCA